CUUGAUAAUAAUACUAUAAUUUUCUUGCAUGAUUAAUUUAAGGUUUAUAAUUCCAGUUAUUGACGUCUCCGUGAAUAAAAUAGUAAAGUCAUCAUCAUACUUUAAUUUAAUAAAUAAAUAAAUGUAUAUACGGCUUUAUAUAAAUGGUUUAAUAAAACAAAUUAAAUAAUGUUUUAAAGUAAUCGAAAUACAUUAAUACAACUAAAUUCAAUAUUGGACUGCAUGGGAAAUUUCGGUACCAAAAAAGACAAAUUCUCAACCACUGUGUGCUAGUAUGCCUUGAAGAAAAUCCUUGUUGAAUAUUUAUUUGUAUUCCACCGCCUUCAGUUUUAAACUGAAAAAUAAUCAGCCAAACAUAAAAGAUGCCUAGAUAGAAUCCAUGGUUUGUCUUACCAAGUUUUAUUUCUCAUGUGUAAACUUAAUUUACUGAGAGACUAUGCUUCAAAGCUGUAUGUUAGUAUGCCUUAAGAAAAAUGUAAGUUUAGCUAAAAAAGUCAAAUAUAAAUAUAUGUAUAUUAAUUUAAUUUUCUUGUAGCUAGACCUUGUUACAUUUUUUUUUUUAAUCGAACGACUUCAGUUUUAAAAUGAAAAAUAAUCAGCCAAUAAUAGAAGAAUAUCCAUUUAAAAGUCAUGGUUCGUGUUACCCAACAUAUGCUAAUAAUGUAAUUCCCAUAUAUAAAGUUAAUUUAAUUAUAUGGGUCCCGGAAUUCCGUCAUUUACUUUUGUUUCUCCUAGCAUAAUUAAUUUUAACUAUAUUUUUGUAUUUUUACAACCCAAGCGAAGACAAGUUUAUAACUGCUGUGUUUUUAUUGUCUACAUUUUCCCAAAAAAUAGUAUAUAAUUUUCGUUUUAAAUAUUUUUAUAUUCGAAAUUUUAUUAUUUAGUUUAGUUUAUUUAAAAUAUCUGAAGUCUUUGGAGAAAUGUGCGAUCACAGAUGCAGCAGCCGAGAGAGUAUGAGUAUUAAGAUCUAAGCUGCGCAGCUAAUACUUGGACUCUCUCGGCUUGCAUUCUAAAUUUGCACAGAAUUUGUUUUCGAAGUUCUUGCUUUUUUUCUUUUAUUUAUUUAUUAUGUUUAUUUAUACAACA